GAGGGUAUAGCUCAGUGGUAGAUUGCAUGCCUAGCAUGCAUGAGGUCCCGGGUUUAAGCCCAGUACCUCCA
rnacentral:tRNA from 1 species